rnacentral:rRNA from 1 species
UGGGGAAUAUUGGACAAUGGGGGAAACCCUGAUCCAGCAAUGCCGCGUGAGUGAUGAAGGCCUUCGGGUUGUAAAGCUCUUUUACCUACGACGAUAAUGACGGUAGUAGGGGAAUAAGCUCCGGCUAACUUCGUGCCAGCAGCCGCGGUAAUACGAAGGGAGCUAGCGUUGUUCGGAAUUACUGGGCGUAAAGCGCACGUAGGUGGCGACGUAAGUCGGGUGUGAAAUCCCCGGGCUCAACCUGGGAACCGCAUUCGAGACUGUGUUGCUGGAGUACGGAAGAGGAGGGCGGAAUUCCCGGUGUAGCGGUGAAAUGCAUAGAUAUCGUCAAGAACACCGAUAGCGAAGGCAGCUUACCAAGCUGUAACUGACACUGAGGCACGAAAGUGUGGGGAUCAAACAGGAUUAGAUACCCUUGUAGUCCCUGAGCGGGCUGGCAAGGCGCAU